UCGGUGGGCCACCGUCCGUAAGCAGAACUCCACCAGGUCAAAACCAGUGCAACACCGGCCGAAUAAACAAACAGUUUGACAGCACCUAGUGGUGCACCAGUGCAACACUAGUGCAACACUCGGCAUAAACAAAUACAGUAUAAGCAACCUUUCAUUUUUUUUUCUUUUCUUCUUCUUCCUCCUUCUGUUCGAAGUUGUCAUCUGACAACUUCUAUUUUGUGGCCUAGUUUCUUAGACUAUAUGGCCAUUUCCAUACGUUGUCAGCAAGACAGCUAUCCAUAUUGCUUGGCAACGGGUCGAUUAUGUGUACAAGUACCUUAGUGUUUUAUUGCUCAUAAUUUUAAAUUAGUUUUUUGGACAAAAUCAGUAACUUCUUUGUAUAGCUCAUUGUCGUUACAUUUCAGUAAAUCAGUUAGACAUGACAUGACAUUGUUAAAUUUUGGACAAAAUAGUAUCGUGUGUUCUGCAGAUUCUGGGGACUGACAAAUGUUACAGUCACCAUCGUCUUCGAUUUCCAUGAUAUUCAGCCAAACUCUCGAGUAUUCGUGCCCUGUGAGGAGUCGGUUCAUGAGGCGAAUUUCGUGUCCUUCAAGAUCCUUUUUGUGAAACCACGGUGUAGGCAAGUAUUCUGGGUAAACCUUUCUGAAUGUUUUCCCUUUCAGAGUGCCUUGUGCGUCGCAGUACUCUUCGUACCAUCUUUUUGUUUCUACGAGCUUCUGUUCUUCGAACUUGUUGAACGCAUCUUUCAAAAAUAUUUGGUUUUCCAAAACUGGAGCAGUGUCAGACAGUCCAAUGUUGGCCAAUGCAUCAGCAAUAUCGUUUCCUUCAAUGUUGAUGUGGCUAGGAAUCCAUUGAAAAGCAGUGCCAAAACGCUGUGCUAUCUCUAGAAUUUCUACAAUCAGAGCAUGUUCUUGCAAGUCAUCGAACGUGUUUACAAGGAUGGUAUAGUGUAUAUAACUGCUUUCGGUAUUUGUUGAUCCUCUAUACACUUCAUGGCUAUUCUGAUGGCAAUAAUUUCGGCAGACGUGUAUUUGUUUCGUCGUUUAAACGGUAAAAGUAUCUAGUUUUAGCAUAUUCAGUGUAUAUGCCAACCGAACAAAUGUUAUCUUUUUUUUGAGGCGUCCGUGAAGAUUCUCCUACGUCGACUGUAUAUUUUGUGCAAAGUGAACAAAACCACUUGUUUCUUAACUUUUGGGCUGAUAUUCUGUUUAAUGUGUGUUCAAUGGAAGUUAGUCGAAACAGGUUAAAAUAGGUCGAAACAAGUAGGAAUGGAUUUUGACAGUUGGUAAUCGGUCUCUUUCCAAUUGACUUCGAUCGUUUCAACCCAAGGGUAACAAUAAUAAAUUAUGGUUGGGCUCAAAAUGCAGAGUUUUCAGCAUAAUUCUUGUUAAAAUUGAUUCAUAAUCUGCAGUAUGCCAACAACAGAUAAGUUUGGCAACCAAAAUGUUACCCUAUUUCGAGUCUGUUAUGGGGUGAAGUGUUUAAUUUCGGGAACCACACUGACGUUCUGGUUCCAAAAAUUUGGUACGGUACGUUUGUAUGCGAUUUGACAGCUGGUUCAGUCCUCUGUUUCAACCAGGUCGUCCGUUGAACAUACUUACACCAAUACUAAUGCGUGUUUUGUGCGUUUUACACACGAAUUUCUAGACAGACCGAAACAGCUCACGGGAAAAUUUAGGUGCGUUUCGUAACGGGCUAGAAAACAAGCGUAUCUGGAUUCCGAAAAUUUGGUAAGUUUGGUGGUUUAAAAUACGAUUGAAAAUUGAUGGCUUUCUGGUGAAAUUUUUGCAAUAUUAAGUUUGACUGAUCGAUGGUUUGUCCGGGAAGGGUACCGGGAUGGUGGCUUGAAGUGCAGGGAUUGUUUUAACUUUGGAAUAAACAGGUGAUGCUUGUUUUUUUUUUUGCACAUCGUCAGAAUAAAUCCACUUCCGAUACGACGCUGAAGACGGAUCGCGGCAAGCGGUUUGAGUUUUUGCUGAAGCAGACGGAAAUUUUCGCUCACUAUGCAAACCGAAAGAAGAACGAAUUGAGCAGUAGCAGUCCUCCGGCCAAACCGAAAGCCAACGGAACCAAGAGCAAACGGGAGAAGGCACCGUUGAUUAGCGAAGAUCCGGGAGAAUAAGUGUUUUUAAAUUUUACAUUAGGAUGAUUCAAAUUUAAAUUAACCAUAACUUACAUUUCAGUCACCGUCACCGGAAAAAGGAACAGGAAGAGGAUGAGGAGCUGCUGGCUAAGGCGACCAUCAAGGCCAAAACGGGGUUCCGUUUCGAAGCGUAGCCACCGUACAUCAUGUUCGGCGAGAUGCGAGACUACCAGAUCCGUGGUUUAAAUUGGAUGAUUUCGUUGUACGAAAACGGAAUCAAUGAAUUUUUGGAAUAACCCGGGACCCCAUAUUGUCAUUGUUCCGAAAUCGACGCUGCAGAAUUGCUGGUGUUCCCGUCCGUUCACUGCUAAGGCUAGAACAGGUUGAAUCAAUGCCAUGGACGUAAGCCCGGAUCUUAGGAAAAUUGGACAUGCUCCAUCAGGAAGACGUCAGAAACGAAAAAAGAAAAUAAAAGCCGGUUGGGACCCGUGGAUGCUUCGACUCAAAGUGUGCCUCCUACCCUUAUCGCCACUGCUGCUCAACUGAAUGCAAUCGACCUGCUGGAGUCGAUUGAUUAAUAUUUAUCUGGCUCCCGGUUGGCGUUCUUGGUAGGUGUUGGCCAUCGGGGAACGCUUCGGCUCGUCCAGGACGUAGCCAACUUCAUCCUUUCUCCGCGCAACUGAUACAAGCUGAACAUCACCACCAGGGAGGCUAAGAGCAGACCGACCACGGUCUUCCCAAUGAUUGCCGCUAGGAUGUUCGCCUGCGCAACAGUUCAUUCCUCCAUGUUGGCGUUCAUUAUUAGAACGCAGCUGCCGUACGGAUGCUUACUGUCGUGCCCGUCCGUCGGUUUAAUGUGCUUGGUCUGGUUCAGAUCCAGGCCGUCC